rnacentral:lncRNA from 1 species
UUUUCAUACCGAAAUCAUUAUGCAGAUUGUUUCUCAAAUCCAUUGAACAUAAUGAUCUGACGUCAUCUCCCAAUUUUGAAUUCCCUGUAUUCGAAGCGGAAGAAGAUGAUGUUGAAGGGAUUCCUGACGAGAUUUCCCGACUUCUUGAGCAAGGAAAGAAGAUCACUCAGCUGCAUCUCGAGAAUCAGCAGAACAGCCAACUGGGGCAUCAAAAAGGAAAAAACAAAAAAAAAACAAAAAAAAAAAGAGGAGGGUGCAAAAU